rnacentral:rRNA from 1 species
UGCAGUCGAACGCAUCCUUCGGGGUGAGUGGCAGACGGGUGAGUAACACGUGGGAACGUACCCCUUUGUUCGGAAUAACCCUGGGAAACUAGGGCUAAUACCGGAUACGGCCGGAAGGCGAAAGGUUUACUGCAGAGGGAUCGGCCCGCGUCCGAUUAGCUAGUUGGUGUGGUAAUGGCGCACCAAGGCGACGAUCGGUAGCUGGUCUGAGAGGAUGGCCAGCCACAUUGGGACUGAGACACGGCCCAAACUCCUACGGGAGGCAGCAGUGGGGAAUAUUGGACAAUGGGCGCAAGCCUGAUCCAGCCAUGCCGCGUGAGUGAUGACGGCCUUAGGGUUGUAAAGCUCUUUUACCUGGGAAGAUAAUGACGGUACCAGGAGAAUAAGCCCCGGCUAACUUCGUGCCAGCAGCCGCGGUAAUACGAAGGGGGCUAGCGUUGUUCGGAUUUACUGGGCGUAAAGGGCGCGUAGGCGGACUGAUAAGUCAGGGGUGAAAUCCCAAGGCUCAACCUUGGAACUGCCUUUGAUACUGUUUGUCUUGAGUUCGAGAGAGGUAAGUGGAACUGCGAGUGUAGAGGUGAAAUUCGUAGAUAUUCGCAAGAACACCAGUGGCGAAGGCGGCUUACUGGCUCGAAACUGACGCUGAGGCGCGAAAGCGUGGGGAGCAAACAGGAUUAGAUACCCUGGUAGUCCACGCCUUAAACGAUGGAUGCUAGCCGUCGGGCAGCUUGCUGCUCUGUGGCGCCGUUAACACAUUAAGCAUCCGCCUGGGAGUACGUCGCAGAU